rnacentral:rRNA from 1 species
CCUACGGGAGGCAGCAGUAGGGAAUAUUGGUCAAUGGGCGCAAGCCUGAACCAGCCAUGCCGCGUGCAGGAAGACGGCCCUCUGGGUUGUAAACUGCUUUUGAUAGGGAACAAAUGCCACUUGCGAGUGGAGCUGAGUGUACCUAUAGAAUAAGCACCGGCUAACUCCGUGCCAGCAGCCGCGGUAAUACGGAGGGUGCAAGCGUUGUCCGGAUUUAUUGGGUUUAAAGGGUGCGUAGGCGGCCUAAUAAGUCAGUGGUGAAAGCCUCCAGCUUAACUGGAGAACUGCCAUUGAUACUGUUAGGCUUGAGUAUACUUGAGGUAGGCGGAAUUGACAGUGUAGCGGUGAAAUGCAUAGAUAUUGUCAAGAACACCAAUUGCGAAGGCAGCUUACUAAAUUAUAACUGACGCUGAGGCACGAAAGUGUGGGUAUCAAACAGGAUUAGAUACCCUGGUAGUCCACACUGUAAACGAUGAUUACUCGCUGUUGGCGAUAGACAGCCGACGCGCCGACGACGAAGACGUUAAGUAAGUAACCUACCGUGGGUUAGGUUACGUCCGGCGACGGUAGAACGACGAGAGAGUUAGACGGCGNGAGACGNGCGACGGACGACGACGAGGGAGGAGG